GGAGGGGGCUCCUCCGGCAGUGUGCGUGAUGACAACUUUGGCCGUAGGAAAGCUUGGGGACCGGUUGGUCUUCACGAAGCUCCCUGUGACGGCACUGUCAUAGUUACCCUGAAUGCACUGCCGGGAGGGAGACGCACCUUC